rnacentral:rRNA from 1 species
CGCCGCGUGAGCGAUGAAGCCCUUCGGGUGUAAAGCUCUUUCGGCCGGAACGAUAAUGACGGUACCGGACGGAAGAAGCUGCGGCUAACUACGUGGC